GUGCUCACUUUGGCAGCACAUAUACUAAAAUUGGAAUGAUACAAAGAUUAGAACAGCUCCUUUGCAAGGAUGACACAAAUUCAUGAAGCAUUCCAUAUUUUU
ensembl:snRNA U6 U6 spliceosomal RNA